rnacentral:lncRNA from 7 species
UGCAGGGUAAAUUGCUCUGUGAUCCGGGUGGAGUACAAUGGAAGAGCCUUCCCAGCCUUUGUGUGUGAGUUUCCCUGCAAGGAGAUAAGAGCCCAUGGUGAGCUGAGAUAUACCCACAUCCCUUCCUGGCAGACAGGCCCAAGCAUGAGUCUUUUUCAGAGAUCUAAGUCUCCACUGUGAAACAAGGGAGAUGGUUCCCAGUAGUCUUCUUAAGGCUGUGCUUCACAUACUUCUUGAAAAAGAACACUGAUCGAAGACUGGCUCAAAAGCAGACAAACCUAGGAAUGCAUCAAUGGAACUGCAUGCAUUCAGUUUCGCUGUGAUGACAGUGCAGUUUCCUAUCGCAAAUACCAGAUCCUUGGAAUCAACAAAUUUAAAAUGUGAGUUUUCUUGUCCUUGCAUUCUGCUGUCUGCCAGUUCAGACUUUAAUGUUCCAGCUUGGAUACAAACGUAUUGUGAGAGACUGCAUGAAAGCUUUGCAAACACUGAGGUAAAUGACAUUCAUAACUCUCUCUUCAUCCAUAAAUCCAGUUAUUUGAUCGUAAAAGAUAAUCAGGUUGUUAUGGCGUGAUUUACCCUUGGGCAAUCAGUGCUGACUGUUUCUAGGCACCUUCAUCUCCUUCACGUGUCCAGUAAUAUAUUCCAAGAGACACUCCAUUUACUUUCCAGCAAUUUGUCUAUGACUAUAUAACCAAGACUCCUAGGUAUUUUUCCUAGGGAAAACUUCAGUAUUCCUUAGUUUGGUUAUUUUGGAACAAGGAUAAACUAUGUCUGCAAUUAAUCUCAUGAGAAGUCAUUCUGAAUGCACGGAUAAAGCAGAGAAGUCAGCAUACUAAUUAAGAUGCUAUUAAAUAUUUUACAUUUAAAUUCUUAUCCCAAAUGGACAAAAGUAAAACUGCAGACCUUACUGUAAAAUAAACUGAAUACUCAAGAAGUUUUCCCUAUAUUACAUAUCUCUAUGCAAUUCUGUUAUUACUACAAGGAUGCAUAUUGGAUCUUUGCCAUACCAUAGUCAAAGAAGUUGAGAGUAUCAGUCAAUAGCGGUCAAACAUUAUUCUUCUCAUACUGAAUCCUGUUGCAAGUUAGUGCAGUGAUUACAGUGGGUACAGCCAGGAACCCACUCAGAAUAUGGCUGUUCUCUUGAACAGAAAAAUUAAAGGAAAUGGCAACGUUAUGGCCAAGAGCUAUCACUCAUGACCUUGAGCCUCACUUUAUUCUGGUGUGUCAUUAACCUGACACUUUAUUACUUCAUGUCUUAAGUCAUAAUAAAUUUUUAUGUAAAUUUUUGGUGCUUAAAUAAAAGCACUGCAGAAAUGUAGCACUACAGAUAGUCAGCAAAGACAAAUUUCAUUAUGAAAGAGAAACAU